AUGAACCUCGUCGGCUACCUCAUGGUCUACCUCGCCGUCGACGGCCGCACCGCCCGCCCGCCCGUCUGGCUCGUCUGCCUCUACAUCUUCAUCGGCGCCAACUCGCAGUCCUUCGCCAACACCGGCGCGCUCGUCACCUGCGUCAAGAACUUCCCGGAGAGCCGCGGCAUCGUGCUCGGGAUACUCAAGGGCUUCGUCGGCCUCAGCGGCGCCGUCUACACGCAGCUCUACCUCGCCUUCUACGGCGACGACACCAAGUCGCUCAUCCUCCUCAUCGCGUGGCUGCCGGCGGCCAUCUCCGUCGUGUUCGUGCACACCAUACGGAUCAUGCCGUACCCGCGCCGCCGCGGCGGGCAGGAGACCAGCGGCGACCCCUUCUUCUGCUUCCUCUACAUCUCCAUCGCGCUCGCCUGCUACCUGCUCGUCAUGAUCGUCGUGCAGAAGCAGUUUACCUUCUCCCACGGAGCCUACUCCAUCGCCGCCGCAGCGCUGCUCAUCGUCCUCUUCCUCCCGCUCUGCGUGGUCAUCAAGCAGGAGUACAAGAUUUACCGCGAGCGCGAACUGGAGGCCGCCCUCCUCGCCAACGACCCGCCGCCAACCAUCACGGUGGCUGGCGAGCCAGCACAGGUCGAAAUGUCCACCGGCGCCAAAGCAGAGCAGCAGGCAUCGUCGGAGCAGCCGCCGCCCUCUUCGUGCUCUUUCGGCGGGUGCGUGAAGAACAUGUUCCGGCCGCCGGCGAGGGGGGAGGACUACACGAUCCUGCAGGCGCUGGUGAGCGUGGACAUGCUGGUGCUGUUCGUGGCGACCAUCUGCGGCGUCGGCGGCACGCUGACGGCGAUCGACAACAUGGGCCAGAUCGGGCAGUCGCUGGGGUACCCGGCCAAGAGCAUCAACACCUUCGUGUCCCUCAUCAGCAUCUGGAACUACGCCGGCCGCGUCACGUCAGGCUUCGCCUCGGAGGUCUUGCUGGAGCGGUACAAGUUCCCCCGCACGCUGAUGCUCACCGGCGUGCUCCUGCUCGCCUGCGCCGGGCACGUCCUGAUCGCGCUCGGCGUGCCGCAGUCGCUCUACGUGGCGUCCGUGAUCAUCGGGUUCUGCUUCGGCGCGCAGUGGCCGCUCGUGUUCGCCAUCAUCUCCGAGGUGUUCGGGCUCAAGUACUACUCCACGCUCUACAACUUCGGCGGCAUGGCCAGCCCCGUGGGGUCCUACAUCCUGAACGUGCUGGUGGCCGGGAGGCUCUACGACGCGGAGGCCGACAAGCAGCCCGGCGGCGGGUUCACGGCGGGAGGCGGGCGCGACAAGGUGUGCCUGGGGGUGGAGUGCUUCAAGCGGUCGUUCCUGAUCAUCGCGGCGGCCACCGUGUUCGGCGCGCUGGUGUCGCUGGUGCUGGUGUGGAGGACGUGGAGCUUCUACAAGGGGGACAUCUACGCGAGGUUCCGGGACGGCGCCGGCGAGAGACACGACGGCCGCCUGCCCGUCGGCCAAGGCCGGAAGCCGGCGGAGGAGGAGUCAUCCCCAGUCAAUGCCACAAAGGUGGAAGCUCAGAAGGCUUUGCAGGCUUGA
rnacentral:rRNA from 1 species